UACGUAGGGGGGCAAGCGUUGUCCGGAUUUAUUGGGCGUAAAGAGCGUGUAGGCGGCCGUACAGGUCAGCUGUGAAAACUCGAGGCUCAACCUCGAGACGUCGGUUGAAACCGUACGGCUAGAGUCCGGAAGAGGUGAGUGGAAUUCCGAGUGUAGAGGUGAAAUUCGUAGAUAUUCGGAAGAACACCAGUGGCGAAGGCGGCUCACUGGACUGGUAUUGACGCUGAGGUGCGAAAGCGUGGGGAGCAAACAGG
rnacentral:rRNA from 1 species